rnacentral:rRNA from 1 species
GACAGAGGUGCCAAGCGUUAGGCGGAAUCACUGGGCUUAAAGCGUGUGUAGGCGGGUGCCUAAGUACCUUGUGAAAUCCCCCGGCUCAACCGGGGAACGGCUGGGUAUACUGGGUGCCUUGGGUCAUCUAGGGGCUGCCGGAACAAAUGGUGGAGCGGUGAAAUGCGUAGAUAUCAUUUGGAACGCCAACGGCGAAAGCAGGCAGCUGGGGAUGCACCGACGCUGAGACACGAAAGCCGGGGGAGCGAACGGG